rnacentral:rRNA from 1 species
AUUGAACGCUGGCGGCAGGCCUAACACAUGCAAGUCGAGCGGAGCGGCGGACGGGUGAGUAAUGCCUAGGAAUCUGCCUGUUAGUGGCGGAUAAAGUACGGAAACGGGAGCUAAUACCGCAUACUCGCAGAGGACUCUCGGUCGGAUUAGCUAGUUGGUGGGGGAAAGGCCUACCAAGGCGACGAUCCGUAACUGGUCUGAGAGGAGGAUCAGUCACACUGGAACUGAGACACGGCCCAGACUCCUACGGGAGGCAGCAGUGGGGAAUUUUGGACAAUGGGCGAAAGCCUGAUCCAGCCAUGCCGCGUGAGUGAAGAAGGUUUUCGGAUUGUAAAGCACUUUUAUUUGGGAGGCGGUAUCAACAGAGUAAGCACCGGCUAACUACGUGCCAGCAGCCGCGGUAAUAC